rnacentral:rRNA from 1 species
GAUGAACGCUGGCGGCGUGCCUAAUACAUGCAAGUCGAGCGAACAGACGAGGAGCUUACUCCUCUGACGUUAGCGGCGGACGGGUGAGUAACACGUGGAUAACCUACCUAUAAGACUGGGAUAACUUCGGGAAACCGGAGCUAAUACCGGAUAACAUGUUGAACCGCAUGGUUCAACAGUGAAAGACGGUCUUGCUGUCACUUAUAGAUGGAUCCGCGUCGCAUUAGCUAGUUGGUAAGGUAACGGCUUACCAAGGCGACGAUGCGUAGCCGACCUGAGAGGGUGAUCGGCCACACUGGAACUGAGACACGGUCCAGACUCCUACGGGAGGCAGCAGUAGGGAAUCUUCCGCAAUGGGCGAAAGCCUGACGGAGCAACGCCGCGUGAGUGAAGAAGGUCUUCGGAUCGUAAAACUCUGUUAUUAGGGAAGAACAAAUGUGUAAGUAACUAUGCACGUCUUGACGGUACCUAAUCAGAAAGCCACGGCUAACUACGUG